ACGUAGGGUGCGAGCGUUGUCCGGAAUUAUUGGGCGUAAAGAGCUUGUAGGCGGUUUGUCGCGUCUGCUGUGAAAUCUCAAGGCUCAACCUUGAGCUUGCAGUGGGUACGGGCAGACUAGAGUGUGGUAGGGGAGACUGGAAUUCCUGGUGUAGCGGUGAAAUGCGCAGAUAUCAGGAGGAACACCGAUGGCGAAGGCAGGUCUCUGGGCCACUACUGACGCUGAGAAGCGAAAGCAUGGGGAGCGAACAGGA
rnacentral:rRNA from 1 species